rnacentral:rRNA from 1 species
GAUCCUGGCUCAGAUUGAACGCUGGCGGCAGGCCUAACACAUGCAAGUCGAGCGGUAGCACAGAGGGCUUGCUCUCGGGUGACGAGCGGCGGACGGGUGAGUAAUGUCUGGGAAACUGCCUGAUGGAGGGGGGAUAACUACUGGAAACGGUAGCUAAUACCGCAUAACGUCGCAAGACCAAAGAGGGGGACCUUCGGGCCGUCUUGCCAUCAGAUGUGCCCAGAUGGGAUUAGCUAGUAGGG